rnacentral:rRNA from 1 species
AGUGAACGCUGGCGGUAGGCCUAACACAUGCAAGUCGAACGGCAGCACAGUAAGAGCUUGCUCUUACGGGUGGCGAGUGGCGGACGGGUGAGGAAUACAUCGGAAUCUACUUUUUCGUGGGGGAUAACGUAGGGAAACUUACGCUAAUACCGCAUACGACCUACGGGUGAAAGCAGGGGAUCUUCGGACCUUGCGCGAUUGAAUGAGCCGAUGUCGGAUUAGCUAGUUGGCGGGGUAAAGGCCCACCAAGGCGACGAUCCGUAGCUGGUCUGAGAGGAUGAUCAGCCACACUGGAACUGAGACACGGUCCAGACUCCUACGGGAGGCAGCAGUGGAGAAUAUUGGACAAUGGGCGCAAGCCUGAUCCAGCCAUACCGCGUGGGUGAAGAAGGCCUUCGGGUUGUAAAGCCCUUUUGUUGGGAAAGAAAAGCAGCAGGUUAAUACCCCGCUGUUCUGACGGUACCCAAAGAAUAAGCACCGGCUAACUUCGU